CUCACAGUGAAAAUUGGCAGUUCGUUUAACUUACUGUUGCCAAUUUGUAUACUAUAGCAUUCACCUUUGUAAAGAGGCGUUUGAGUUGUGACAAAAUUGUGUGCGUUUUGUAUGUGAUUUAAAAAGAAGGAAUGGCUGUCAAUCUGUUGCGAGCAACCACGGCACACGUUCGGCUUACGUAUAUUAACUGUACACGACUCGUGGGGAAGACGUCGGUUUAAUCUUCGAGCCUCCAACCGAACAUAGCGUCUACGCCAUGGCAUGGAUACAUCACCAUCGACCAGAAGUAGGUCAAUAUCCAGGAUAUCGCUGGGACACGACUUCGGUGAAUGGAUAUUAUUUGGAACAACGUGUUAUUCAGUGUGUUUAAAUGUUUCUGCUACUUAACGUGCCGUGUACAAGUGCUGUGAUUUGUGCCUUUUUUGUAACGAAAUGAAUGUCUCUGUAUAUGUUAUUUAGUUGUAGCAUAAUUGAGUUAGAUAUUGUUUUAUAUCACUACAGUUAAUUCUUAAGAUCUAUAACGAUCUUACAACACAAUUUAUAUGCCAUUAGUAAUUCAUUUUUAUAUGUUUGAUAAUUAAUUAAUAUGUCAUUUAGGCGGAAAUUCUAUGUCUUGGAGGUGAUCGGAAGUAUUAAAGGUAUAAAUAAUUAACUAUAGGAUAAUAUACAUAUGUCUAGGGGAGGUAAACUUUGCAUUUCGUCGUCAUCCAUCACGUAGUGCUAGUCUGUGUGAGGAUGGCAGGAAUGCUUUCAAAAUUAUUUUCGGGAUAGUAUGGGUGUUCUGAUACUCGCUCGAUGGCACUGCGUGCUUAGGCGUACUUGGAAUAGCUCUUUUUGGCUUUGGAAAUUGUGGCAUUGCGAAUAUUGUAUUAUAUGUUGCACUUGACAAUCGCAGGUACUGCGUACCUAGAAUUUAGUUGGCCGGUUGCGUUGGCCUUAGCAAUUGAGCGUGUAUAAUGAUAUAUAUUUCCGAACCAGUCAGGUAUUCGUUGAAAUAGGUAUUGCAUAAAUAAAUGUGAGCACGUUGCGGAGCUCUUGCGAAAUAGCAUAGAAUACGGUGCAUUAUCUGGUGGCUGUGAUAGCAUAAACGAGAAGCUAAAUUAAUAGUGCAACUGGGUUGGGGGUUACCUUUAGGGCAGUACUUCCGGUGGCCUCCGCGACAUGCCUCAGUUGUAGUGCUAGUCUAUAGGUGUUAUUUACUCUAGUGCUAGUCUGGUGUAAAUUAUAUUUCGCCAUUUGGCCAAUAAAUUCCAUUUAUCUUUU